rnacentral:rRNA from 1 species
UAUUUUGAUUGUGCAAAGGUAGCAUAAUAAUUAGUUUUUUAAUUGAGAACUGGUAUGAAUGGUUGGACGAGAAAAAAUCUGUCUCAAUUUAAUUUUAAUUAGAAUUUUAUUUUUAAGUUAAAAAGCUUAAAUAAUUUUAAAAGACGAGAAGACCCUAUAGAGUUUUAUAAAAUAUUGUAUUUUUAAUAAUUUUAGUAUUUUAUCAAUUAAUUAUAAAUUUUUUAUUUGAUUGGGGUGAUUAAAAAAUUUAAAUAACUUUUUUUAAAAUAUUAACAUUUAUAUAUGAAUAAUUGAUCC